AUUGAACGCUGGCGGCAGGCCUAACACAUGCAAGUCGAGCGAGCGGCGGACGGGUGAGUAAUGUCUGGGAAACUGCCUGAUGGAGGGGGAUAACUACUGGAAACGGUAGCUAAUACCGCAUACCAUCAGAUGUGCCCAGAUGGGAUUAGCUAGUAGGUGGGGUAACGGCUCACCUAGGCUACGAUCCCUAGCUGGUCUGAGAGGAUGACCAGUAACACUGGAACUGAGACACAAUCCAGUGUCCUACGGGAAGAAGCAGUGGGGAAGAUUGCAAAAUAGGCGGAGGCCUGAUGCAGCGAUGCCGCAUGUGUGAAGAAGGCCCUCGGGUUGUAAAUCACUUUAAGCGGGGAGACGUUACCCGCAGAAAAAGCACCGGCUUACUCCGUGCCAGUAGCGGCGAUUAUUC
rnacentral:rRNA from 1 species